AUAGAAUAAAGUAGGUGGAGUCUUGUCGUUUCGGUCUUCUUGACUGGUCGGAGGGUUGGAGGCGGGCCUUGCUCUAGCCAGAGCAGAAGCCCCAUUGGUGCACAGCGGAGCCUUAUCCUGAGCAUCCGACCAAUAGAGGGGGUCAGUCUUGUGGCUGGGUGUAUGUGUUCUUGCGACGGAAUGUCUUUGUUUAUAUGAGCUAUGUGUAUGAAUAUUUAUAUAACACUUUGCUACUUGUCUUGGCCAGACGAUGUACAUCCCUCACUUAUAUUUGUCAGCUCUUGCACGCGCCUUGAGUAUAACACUGCCAUGGUUGGCUAAUUGCUAGCCACCUUACUAGUUAGGGCGUUAAUAGCUAGCUAAGAGACAAAAGAGAACACAAUCGAAUUGCAAAAAUCACUAACUGAACGGAUAAACUGAAUUUAACAAGAAUUAUUAAAAAAAAGCUAUAGGAAUAUGAUUAAUAUACUGAGAAUGAUAAAACGAGUGACUUCGAGGCUAGUAUGACUAGUCAGGCUGACAGGACGCUAUGUAUUAGGUAGGAAGUCGACGUUGUACAAAAUAUCUAUGGAACUAAUAGGAGCUGGCAGGGUGGGAAAUAACCUCAUAGGGCCUGUUUUUUCGUGAUUACUUCAAAACUACGGCAAACUGCUCGGGAAUAUGGUCAUAUUAUGAAACUGGGCUCCACGGCGGAGGCAAUGAACUAGUUAUCAGAAGAACAAAACAGUUAAUGUCAUGUGUCCAGCCUACGGUUGUCAUUGGUUGUUUCUUUGCAGCUAGCUAAGCUAACAUUAACUAAACAUCGAACUUUUGUACAUCGCUAUAUUCCGUACACUUUACCUUAUUUUAGCGCUUUAAUACUUCCAGAUCAACUGUAAUAUGAAUACCAUUGUAAAGCACAAUUUCUCCCCUUUCAAGCAAAAUCAAUGACGAGACCUUCAUGCUGCCCGCCUCUACAUGAUUGAAGAUAGCAAAGGAGCUCCACCAUGUCUUUUUUUAAAUGUCGGGUGGGGAAGCGGAAAGCUAUUGCGUGAAAGUCCUUCAUUCCAAAACCUGAAGCCCCCUGUCCUCAGCAGGAAAGACCAGGAAAAAGUGUUGGCUUAAGGCUCGGUGGGUGACCGGUAACAAUGAUUCAACCAAGCUGUUCCAGGCCUGGAGUGGCACGCUGGAACUUCCAGAGGCUUGUAGACCUGAAGCAGUGUGAUGUGAUCCAGAUCUGACAUCCCUAUUACCUCAACCACAGUCCUCACAGCUUAAGUCGUCUGCCCCUGCACCUGCUACACCAGCCACGACAGGUGAUACAGAUCUGCCACCCCCAGCAGUUCAGCUGCAGUCACAGCAGUCCUCUGCUGUGGUAUUUCAUUUACCGGCUGCACCAGUUCCUACUACACUGGCCAUGAAGGGAGAUACUAUUGAGGAGACCCAGAUGGAUACAGAUCUGCCAUGCACUCCACCAGUGCCUGACAGACUCAUCUCUGAGAAAACAGAGAUGGGUGGCUGACAAGGAAAAAUAAAACACAACACACACUCUCUCUCUCUGUCAUACACACUCACACACAUUAUUCCCAGUGUAAAUGAGUUGUAUUUACUUGUUUAUUUUAUGUUUGCUCAAUUUGAUUUUAGGAUUUGAGAUAUCUAUUCCUACAUAUCCAUUCUCAAUAUCUACAUAAUUACUCUAAAUAUCUAUCAAAUCAAAGUGUUAUUGAUAUUGUAAAAUACUUGCUUAAUUUGUAUAGUUUGAGGAAAUUCUGUGUGCUUUUUAAAAACAUGCCUCCCUCUCACACACACAUUAGACCCAAUGUAAAUACAUUGUUUAUUUUAUGUAUGCUCCAUUUUGUUUGAGGAUUGUCAAAUCAAAGUUUUUUUGUCACGUGUGCUGAAUACAACAUGUGUAGA